CAGUCGCCGCGGUAAUACAGAGGAUGCAAGCGUUAUCCGGAAUGAUUGGGCGUAAAGCGUCUGUAGGUGGCUUUUCAAGUCCGCCGUCAAACCCUAGGGCUCAACCCUGGACAGGCGGUGGAAACUACCAAGCUGGAGUAUGGUAGGGGCAGAGGGAAUUUCCAGUGGAGUGGUGAAAUGCGUUGAGAUCGAAAAGAACACCAACGAUGAAAGCACUCUGCUGGGCCGACACUGACACUGAGAGACGAAAGCUAGGGGAGCAAAUGGGAUUAGAUACCCCCGUAGUCCCUGUCUCUUAUAC
rnacentral:rRNA from 1 species